rnacentral:rRNA from 1 species
CACGUAGGGGGCAAGCGUUGUCCGGAAUCAUUGGGCGUAAAGAGCUCGUAGGCGGCUCAGUAAGUCGGGUGUGAAACCCCCAGGCUCAACCUGGGGACGCCACCCGAUACUGCUGUGGCUAGAGUCCAGUAGAGGAGUGUGGAAUUCCCGGUGUAGCGGUGAAAUGCGCAGAUAUCGGGAGGAACACCAGCGGCGAAGGCGGCACUCUGGGCUGGUACUGACGCUGAGGAGCGAAAGCGUGGGGAGCGAACAGG